rnacentral:rRNA from 1 species
AGUCAUAUGCUUGUCUCAAAGAUUAAGCCAUGCAUGUCUAAGUAUAAGCUUUUAUACGGUGAAACUGCGAAUGGCUCAUUAAAACAGUUAUAGUUUAUUUGAUGGUCUCUUUUACAUGGAUAACCAUGGUAAUUCUAUGGCUAAUACAUGCGCACAGGCCUCCUUCUUUGGAGGGGCCGUGUUUAUUAGAUACAAAACCAACCCACUUUGUGGAGCCUUGGUGAUUCAUAGUAACCGAACGGAUCGCAGUUGGCUUUUGCCCGCGAUGGAUCAUUCAAGUUUCUGACCUAUCAGCUUUCGACGGUAGGGUAUUGGCCUACCGUGGCAGUGACGGGUAACGGGGAAUUAGGGUUCGAUUCCGGAGAGGGAGCCUGAGAAACGGCUACCACAUCUAAGGAAGGCAGCAGGCGCGCAAAUUACCCAAUGAAAACAGUUUCGAGGUAGUGACGAGAAAUAACGGUACAGGGCAUUUAAUGCUUUGUAAUUGGAAUGAUGGGAAUGUAAAACCCUUCCAGAGAACCAAUUGGAGGGCAAGUCUGGUGCCAGCAGCCGCGGUAAUUCCAGCUCCAAUAGUGUAUAUUAGAGUUGUUGCAGUUAAAAAGCUCGUAGUUGGAUUUCUGUCGUGGUCAUCCGGCCGCGCCCGUAGGGUGUGCGCCUGUGUUGCCCGCGGCUUUCUUCCGGUAGCCUUCCGCGCUUCACU